rnacentral:rRNA from 1 species
GAUGAACGCUGGCGGCGUGCCUAAUACAUGCCAGUCGAGCGAACAGAUGAGGAGCUUGCUCCUCUGACGUUAGCGGCGGACGGGUGAGUAACACGUGGAUAACCUACCUAUAAGACUGGGAUAACUUCGGGAAACCGGAGCUAAUACCGGAUAAUAUAUUGAACCGCAUGGUUCAAUAGUGAAAGACGGUUUUGCUGUCACUUAUAGAUGGAUCCGCGCCGCAUUAGCUAGUUGGUAAGGUAACGGCUUACCAAGGCAACGAUGCGUAGCCGACCUGAGAGGGUGAUCGGCCACACUGGAACUGAGACACGGUCCAGACUCCUACGAGAGGCAGCAGUAGGGAAUCUUCCGCAAUGGGCGAAAGCCUGACGGAGCAACGCCGCGUGAGUGAUGAAGGUCUUCGGAUCGUAAAACUCUGUUAUUAGGGAAGAACAAAUGUGUAAGUAACUAUGCACGUCUUGACGGUACCUAAUCAGAAAGCCACGGCUAACUACGUG